GAAAGAGUUAUUUUCAGCCUUUGACUUUGUGGUUUUAUAAAUCAAGGGUGGGGUGCUCUCCCUGAAAAGUGAAACACUGGCUUAGGUACGAUUAGCAGAUUGUGAUUGCAUUAGAUUUAAAACAUGCUAGCUGGAGCUUGCAGACAGUAGGUGAAAAAAAACCAAUCUGGGUGGGAAGGAAUUAAGAUUCCAUUUCCAACUGACAGUGCAAUUUCCUUCUCCCCAGAGUUCAAAGGAUGGAUACAUGGAUGGUGAUUUCAUUAAAGAAAAAGAGAUGACACUCGAAGCACUUUCCGAGAAUAAAACACAGUGGCUGCAGAGAAGAGGAGGAAUCAGGUGCGACUCAGACCUGC
rnacentral:lncRNA from 1 species